rnacentral:misc_RNA from 1 species
UGAGUGCUCUCAGGAACUUCUCAGA